GGCAAAGUAGUUCAGUGGUAGAACAGUAGAAUCAUAAUCUACGUGUCGGGGGUUCGAUUCCCUCUUUUGCUA
rnacentral:tRNA from 1 species